rnacentral:rRNA from 1 species
UAUUANGGGUAMACCUGWGAAAYCCGAMRKGUCKRRGGGWKAAAUUCAUUCGYGUUWCRWGGWCAGGCAGACAGUGGCGGGCGCGUGACUGGYAAGGCGCCGGCAACUUCGCGUUUGCCGCGCCCUCCGCUYGUCGAACCGGCAACGAACGCGUGCACUUUUCUCCUGGUAGGACGUCGCGAUCCGUUGGGUGUCAGUCUACGGCUCGCGGUGGAGCCCGCUCGACGCGUUCGCGCGCGUCGGACGGACCCGCGUGUCCCGGCUGACUCGCUCGACGGUAUAAAGUAAGGUUAGGGGCCGCUCCCUUUAAUGUGGAGCGUUCGACUCGCGGCAAGCGCGCCAGUUUACGUGUCGGCGAUCGGACCUAGUGCCGAUUCCGGCCGCUGGCGACUGUUGGCCGUCGAAGUUCUCGAACAGACUCUCUUAGACCGAUCUGCGACGCUAUAGCUUUGGGUACUUUCAGGACCCGUCUUGAAACACGGACCAAGGAGUCUAGCAUGUGCGCGAGUCAUUGGGAAUCACUAAACCUAAAGGCGCAAUGAAAGUAAAGGUCGUUCCUCGCGAACGACCGAGGGAGGACGAACGGUGUUGUGCCGUUAAAAGCGGCCGUUCCGCACUCCCGGGGCGUCUCGUUCUCAUCGCGAGAAGAGGCGCACCACGAGCGUACACGCUGGGACCCGAAAGAUGGUGAACUAUGCCUGGUCAGGACGAAGUCAGSGRAAACCCUGAUGGMGGUCCGUAGCGACUSUKACGWGCUCAUCSRUCGUCGGWCCUGGGUAUAMGSGCKMACGAMUAMUCGACCCU